rnacentral:misc_RNA from 1 species
AAUAUAUCUUUCUAUCUCUUACAAUUUUCAUGGCUGUGGAACGUAUUAAAUUUAAAAAAAAUGAUAAUUUUGACAACUAUGCAAUUGCAAGGCAUGAUGAACGGCUACCACACUUUCAUUUUUAUCGAGGUCAUCGGUCUCUUCCACUUUAUACUCCCACCAACUCUGACAGAAGAAAUAAGAAAGUACCAGCCAUUACUUGAGUCAGUCCAAGUCAGUCUGGCUAGCCAUCUCAUUGUGCAAUUCCUCUUACUACAAUUUCUUACCACUAUGAUGCACACUAAAAAUUUUUGAUUUUAUCUAUACUACUAUGUAAGAGCUGUUAACAAAGAAAAAUAUUAAACAUUUUCGGAUGUUUACCUACAGCAAUGCAGUGGCUUCUGUUACUUUGCUGUGUGACUGUUGCGAGUUCGCUUAGACUCGCCGCGUACAUAUCUUCUGGUGGUCUGCACGGUGAAAUUCGAUUCGAGAAAAUCACCGAGUCUUCCGUGCGAAUACGAUAUUCUCUAAAACCGACUUUGCAAUAUCCGGAUCAGCUAUGGCUCUGGUCGAUCACCCAGUUUCCUGUCGAUUACACGAUCAUCGAUGGAAGAUGCGACAAACGACACAUCGGAGAAAGUAUCAUCGAUUUGACAGAAAAAAUCGGACCUCUUGAGUUGCCAGCAAAUCAAACAGGUUCGAUAGAAGUUACAGAUCUGUUUUUAACUGGAGAAUUAGGUUUGUGGGGAAAAGCUCUGGUAUUGAAAGAUAAUUAUUCGCCAAGAACAAUAUGCGCUUCGAUCACGGUUCUUGAAAGAAAUGUUGAAAAAUUUGCUCAAGCGCGUUUUUACGGUCCCAUAGCUGGAACAAUUUUGUUUCGAUGGUUGGGCGGCCAAACGGGCGACCCCACUGAUACUAUUAUUCAUACAAAUUUGCAUCACGUUCACAAGCAAAAAUUACAGUCACUAAAUUAUACCGAGCAUCAUUGGAAAAUAUAUGUCACCGAUAUCUUCGAAACUGGCAAAGAUAAAGACAAUUGUAAUAUACUCCAAAAUGUCUUUGAUCCUAACAAUUCUGGCGUUGGAGAAUCCAUCGGAGAUGUCGAUAUACGUUUAGGCAAGAUAAAAGUCGCCGUUGACGCACAGGAAAAGUAUAAAACUUUCUAUAGAGAUCCGGAAUUAUCUUUAUUGCCAGCAGAUCUGCUUGGUCCACAUCGUCACUUAUACUUAGUCAUCUUUCAUCCAAUGCACGAGGACUCGUUCUUAGCUUGUGCCAAAAUUAAUCAUCGCAAGCCAAUACACACUAAGGCCGUAAUCAACUCGCACGGCAUCAAAGGUGAAAUUACUGCGAUCCAAGAAACGCCGUUCGAUCCGACGUGGAUCAAUAUCUCUCUGACGACUACAAAUGAUCUGGAAACCAGAUUGCGAUAUGCUACUAAAGUAGCAUCAUAUAAAAUCCACGAGUUACCUCCGGAACCGGCAAAGAGUGUGGGAUUUACUGUCGAUUCGUGUUUAACUACUAAAAAAAUGUUUAACCCUUCGAAUAUCGACGAGAAGAUCGUCCCACCUGCAGGUUUGGGAACUCAGGAUCAAUACGCUAUCGGCGAUCUAUCGGGUAAGCUUCAAGGGCGAAAGGAAGGAUCUUAUCACAAUGAUAUUUUACCCGGAAGCGCCAAACUCAGUGGAAUUUACUGGGAUACAUACUUACCACUUUCCGGAGUCCACAGUAUCGUUCACAGAUCUUUAGUUCUUUACAAAUAUAACGAGACCGAUAACAAAGGACUGAUUCCGUGGGUGUGCGGCACGUUCGCGCUUUAUACGCCGUACACUGAUUGGCAAAUGCCAAUGUACACGGCGAAAGCGGUAUUCAGGUAUCCCAUUGUCGGUCGCAUAGUCUUCCGACAGCCCAAAGAUGAGCCCGAAAUGGACACUACUGUAAUAAUAGAACAUCUUGUCCACGCAGACGGCAACGCAGUGAAUAAUACUGCGGAUCAUAGAUGGAUGGUGCACGAAAAUCCACCGGGAAAAGACUUUUAUAACUGGACAGGUCGUUGUUUGAGCGCCGGAUUGCCCUACAAUCCAUUUAAGGUGGAAUGGAGUCUGAACAGUUCUUGUCUCGUCUCAGAAACCUCGUUGUGUCGUCUCGGUGAUUUAACGAGGCACGGGAUGCUCGAUAUCGCCGGUAGAAAAGUCAAUGCUUCAGAAGUGACCCGAAGACUCUUUACAGACACGAUGUUACCUUUAUCAGGCUCCCACACGUUGCUCGGCAAGAGUUUGGUCAUUUACGACGAUCACGGACCAGUCGCGAGAGGAGACCGAUUGGCUUGUUCCAUUAUCGGCGGCGUCUAUCGGCGUAAAGCUGUCGUUAGAGAUUGGUUCGGUAACGGCGAGCAAGUGGCUCUGGAAGGAAAAUUGGAGUUCUUGCAGCAGACCGAGUACGACGUCACCAACGUGGAAGUGUCUCUCGAAGGUCUCGGUGGUAAGAUGAGCGGCUAUCACAUACACAUGACGCCUGUAGAAUACGAUCUAGAAUUUCCAUGCGAAGGAACUUCACUCUAUGGACAUUGGAAUCCAUUGGGCGUCAAUAACAGCGAUGUACCGGCGACGGAAGAAGGUACGCUGGAUCAAUAUGAGAUGGGUGAUCUGAGUGGAAAAUUCGGCACCUUGGACAACAAAAAGAGGCAAGCUUCGGCGUAUAACGACACGAUGCUGCCACUGUUUGGUCCGAGGAGCGUACUGGGACGCAGCAUAGUUAUUCACAAGAAAGAAAAGAAUUUAAGAUGGGCGUGCUCCACCAUAGAGAGAGGCUACUCUCCGACCGAGGCCAGUGAGUUGCGUGCUAUCGCGUCGUUCCAUCAUCCUCAAGGCUUCUUAUAUGGUUACAUAAAGAUGACGCAGCUUGUCUAUAAAGACGGCAGUGAAAGUGAGACGGUGAUCGAAGUAAACUUACGACAUCCCGGAAAACACGAUCGCAAUGUGACCAGAAAUCACAAUUGGGCGAUAUAUGUGAAUCCUGUGGGUGUGGAUGCCACGGUAAAAGUGAAGAACACCCGGUGCGUGGCAGGUGGAUACAUAUGGAAUCCAUAUUUCACUCAAUUAGCCGAUCCGUUGAACGAGGAUCUCUAUAGAGAGGAAUGUGGUCCAGAUUUGCCGCUCAGGUGUUACGUCGGCGACAUAUCGUCUCGUUUAGGACCCGUUAACGUUGGGGUGAAGCGGCAGGUCUUCACAGAUCCAAAUUUUCCUCUAGGUGGUCCGAUAUCCGCAAUGGGCAAAUCAAUCAUUAUUUUCGACAAGGAUUUCGGCAGCAACAGAUUCGCCUGCGCAAACAUCGAGCCCGAUAACGACAUCGUGAAAUACGCGAAUAUUAGAAAACCACCGCGAUUUGUGGUGGCGCAAUUUUUGGAGGAUGUGAGAAAGGUGAUGGGCAUUCCCGAGUGGAUGCUAUCAAUCGAUGGUAGAAAGACAAAGAUAUUACAUAACGGCGCGUGCAUUCAAUUCCUCCUGCAUUUUAAAGGUCCAAUUGCCAAUAAAUUGGACCAAGACUUUAGCAAGCUCAUAUCCACCGGUAAACUCGAGGCUCCUAGUUUGUAUAUUCCUGGAUACAUACCGACGAAGAGGAAAAGUACGCUAGGACAUCGACAGUGCGGCACACGUGAUCCGAAUGAUAAAAAUUUGGACAGCUACCGCAGCAAAUCCGUCUCGUUGUUACCGGGGAUAUCUGUAUUCUUGAUAAUAGUAAUUAGAAUAGUGUAAUCCGAUACGAAGUUUUAAUAAAAUCAUUGAUUUCUAUAAAAAGAAUAAAAUGUACAAAGAAGCAAGAGCCUUUUCAAGCAAAAGCCUUCGAGUCACACAUCGCUGUAUGUGAGAAAUCAUCAUUAAUAAGCUGAAAAAGAACUAGAGAGAAGAGAAGAAAGCGAAACUUGUGUGUAAAAUUAUAUCUUCGAGAAGUAUUGCGGAUGAAUUCUUCCUUUUUUUUUUUACAAUGUGAGAGAAAAGAAUCGUCCGAGCGUCACUCCGUCGUGCUCGUUAAAAUGUAAUCUGUCUCCAGACUAGAGACGCCCGAUUGACUCACGAUCGGCCGCGAAAUCAAUAUGUCUCAAUGUCUCGGGAGAAGCGGAGAUCUUCGUCGUCGUCUCUCGGCGCGCCGUCGGAGUUCUACACUCCCCGGCAAACUGUUUUAGUCGAAACGUCGAAAGGGUCGCUAUUUUGAGGCGACUCGCACUAAAUAUGGUCAGAUAGGCGGUUGUACCCGGGGCAGGGCACCCCUGCUCGGACCUACCUCCGGACCCGCUGGUGGGGGAGAUCCGCAGAAGUUACUUAGACAAGUUCAGCUCUAUGAUUCGGACAGUUGGUUCGUCGUGACCAUCUCGAUAUCGUCCACCUCUUAGAAAUCAACCGUAGACAU